UACCAGCACCCCGAGUGGUCGGGACGUUUUAUUGGGCCUAAAGCAUCCGUAGCCGGUUCUACAAGUCUUCCGUUAAAUCCAACUGCUUAACAGGUGGGCUGCGGAAGAUACUAUAGAGCUAGGAGGCGGGAGAGGCAAGCGGUACUCGAUGGGUAGGGGUAAAAUCCGUUGAUCCAUUGAAGACCACCAGUGGCGAAGGCGCUUGCCAGAACGCGCUCGACGGUGAGGGAUGAAAGCUGGGGGGAGCAAG
rnacentral:rRNA from 1 species